GUGGGGAAUAUUGGACAAUGGGGGGAACCCUGAUCCAGCCAUGCCGCGUGUGUGAAGAAGGCCUUUUGGUUGUAAAGCACUUUAAGCGAGGAGGAGGCUACCGAGAUUAAUACUCUUGGAUAGUGGACGUUACUCGCAGAAUAAGCACCGGCUAACUCUGUGCCAGCAGCCGCGGUAAUACAGAGGGUGCGAGCGUUAAUCGGAUUUACUGGGCGUAAAGCGUGCGUAGGCGGCUUUUUAAGUCGGAUGUGAAAUCCCCGAGCUUAACUUGGGAAUUGCAUUCGAUACUGGGAAGCUAGAGUAUGGGAGAGGAUGGUAGAAUUCCAGGUGUAGCGGUGAAAUGCGUAGAGAUCUGGAGGAAUACCGAUGGCGAAGGCAGCCAUCUGGCCUAAUACUGACGCUGAGGUACGAAAGCAUGGGGAGCAAACAGGAUUAGAAACCCGGAUAGUCC
rnacentral:rRNA from 1 species